UACGGAAGGCAGCAGUGGGGAAUAUUGCACAAUGGGCGCAAGCCUGAUGCAGCCAUGCCGCGUGUAUGAAGAAGGCCUUCGGGUUGUAAAGUACUUUCAGCGGGGAGGAAGGCGAUGUGGUUAAUAACCGCGUCGAUUGACGUUACCCGCAGAAGAAGCACCGGCUAACUCCGUGCCAGCAGCCGCGGUAAUACGGAGGGUGCAAGCGUUAAUCGGAAUUACUGGGCGUAAAGCGCACGCAGGCGGUCUGUUAAGUCAGAUGUGAAAUCCCCGGGCUUAACCUGGGAACUGCAUUUUGAACUGGCAGGCUUGAGUCUCGUAGAGGGGGUGAAUUCCAGGUGUAGCGGUGAAAUGCGUAGAGAUCUGGAGGAAUACCGGUGGCGAAGGCGGCCCCUGGGACGAAGACUGACGCUCAGGUGCGAAAGCGUGGGGAGCAAACAGGAUUAGGAUACC
rnacentral:rRNA from 1 species